CCUACGGGGGGCAGCAGUGGGGGAUAUUGCACAAUGGGGGAAACCCUGAUGCAGCGACGCCGCGUGUGGGAAGACGGUCCUCUGGAUUGUAAACCACUGUCCCCAGGGACGAAGAUGACGGUACCUGGGGAGGAAGCUCCUGCUAACUACGUGACAGCAGCCGCGGUAAUACGUAGGGAGCGAGCGUUGGCCGGAAUUACUGGGUGUAAAGGGCGCGUAGGCGGGGAUGCAAGUUGGGUGUCAAAACUAGCGGCGCAACUGGGAGUCGCACUCAAAACUGCAGCUCUUGAGUGAAGUAGAGGCAGGCGGAAUGCCUAGUGUAGCGGUGAAAUGCGUAGAUAUUAGGAGGAACACCAGUGGCGAAGGCGGCCUGCUGGGCUUUUACUGACGCUGAGGCUCGAAAGUGUGGGGAGCAAACAGGAUUAGAUACCCGAGUAGUC
rnacentral:rRNA from 1 species